CAGCCGCCGCGGGAAUACGAAGGGUGCAAGCGUUAAUCGGAAUUACUGGGCGUAAAGCGUGCGCAGGCGGCUUGUUAAGUCAGAUGUGAAAUCCCCGGGCUCAACCUGGGAAUUGCAUUUGUUACUGGCUAGCUAGAGUGUGGCAGAGGAUGGUGGAAUUCCGGGUGUAGCAGUGAAAUGCGUAGAGAUGCGGAGGAACAUCAGUGGCGAAGGCAGCCCUCUGGGACAACACUGACGCUGAUGCACGAAAGCGUGGGGAGCAAACAGGAUUAGAUACCCCAGUAGUCCCUGUCUCUUAUAC
rnacentral:rRNA from 1 species